rnacentral:misc_RNA from 1 species
AAAAGAAAGUCUAGUUUGCUUAGAAAUAGGACAAACUGGACAAUUACAAAUUUGAGUUUUAUCUAAUGUAUGCUGAUGGUAGAAAUCUGACUGAGUACUGGAAUUGGAGCAUGACCAAGUCUUUGAUGCCAUAUAGAACUUUUAAAAUCACUGGAAUUAACAGAAUGACGAUAAGAAACAUUUUGCAAGCUAGAAUUAGUGGUUGGUGAUAGUGAUUUGGUGGAAAGAAUGUAUAGGUCAUCCUUGACUUUACCAAUCCCCUUCACCUUACCAGUGUAAAGAUCCUGAAAAAGAAAGAAAUUAGGGUAAAAUGAAGCAAAA